GGCCAGACUCCUACGGGAGGCAGCAGUGGGGAAUAUUGCACAAUGGGGGAAACCCUGAUGCAGCGACGCCGCGUGAGUGAAGAAGUAUUUCGGUAUGUAAAGCUCUAUCAGCAGGGAAGAAAAUGACGGUACCUGACUAAGAAGCCCCGGCUAACUACGUGCCAGCAGCCGCGGUAAUACGUAGGGGGCAAGCGUUAUCCGGAUUUACUGGGUGUAAAGGGAGCGUAGACGGCAUGGCAAGUCAGAUGUGAAAGCCCGGGGCUCAACCCCGGGACUGCAUUUGAAACUGUCAGGCUGGAGUGCAGGAGAGGUAAGUGGAAUUCCUAGUGUAGCGGUGAAAUGCGUAGAUAUUAGGAGGAACACCAGUGGCGAAGGCGGCUUACUGGACUGUAACUGACGUUGAGGCUCGAAAGCGUGGGGAGCAAACAGGAUUAGAUACCCCCGUAGG
rnacentral:rRNA from 1 species